ensembl:snRNA U4 U4 spliceosomal RNA
AGCUUUGCACAGUGGCAGUAUCAUAGCCAAUGAGGUUUAUCCGAGGUGCGAUUAUUGCUAAUUGAAAACAAAACAUAAGCCAU